rnacentral:tRNA from 1 species
GCCCGGAUGGCGGAAUUGGUAGACGCGCUGGUCUCAAACACCAGUAGGUUCACCCCUGUGCCGGUUCGACCCCGGCUCCGGGUA